AUCAACUUUCGAUUGGUAGGAUAGAGGCCUACCAUGGUGGUAACGGGUAACGGGGAAUUAGGGUUCGAUUCCGGAGAGGGAGCCUGAGAAACGGCUACCACUUCCAAGGAAGGCAGCAGGCGCGCAAAUUACCCAAUCCCGACACGGGGAGGUAGUGACAAUAAAUAACAAUACGGGGCUCUUUAGGGUCUCGUAAUUGGAAUGAGUACAAUUUAAAUCCCUUAACGAGGAACAAUUGGAGGGCAAGUCUGGUGCCAGCAGCCGCGGUAAUUCCAGCUCCAAUAGCGUAUAUUAAAGUUGUUGCAGUUAAAAAGCUCGUAGUUGAAUUUCGGGAUUGACGUGAUGGUCAUGCCUUAAGGGGUAUGAACUGUUGCGGUUGAUUUCUCACCUUCUGGAGAAACUUGAUGUCCUUUAUUGGGUGUCUUGCGGAUCCAGGACCUUUACCUUGAAAAAAUUAGAGUGUUUAAAGCAGGCAUUUUUGCUCGAAUACAUUAGCAUGGAAUAAUAGAAUAGGACGGCAUGGUUCUAUUUUGUUGGUUUCUAGGAUCACCGUAAUGAUUAAUAGGGAUAGUUGGGGGCAUUAGUAUUCAAUUGUCAGAGGUGAAAUUCUUGGAUUUAUUGAAGACUAACUACUGCGAAAGCAUUUGCCAAGGAUGUUUUCAUUAAUCAAGAACGAAAGUUAGGGGAUCGAAGACGAUCAGAUACCGUCGUAGUCUUAACCAUAAACUAUGCCGACUAGGAAUCAGACGAUGUUAAUUUUUUAAUGACUCGUUUGGCACCUUACGGGAAACCAAAGUGUUUGGGUUC
rnacentral:rRNA from 1 species